UACAGAGGUCCCAAGCGUUGUUCGGAUUCACUGGGCGUAAAGGGUGCGUAGGUGGUGGGGUAAGUCGGAUGUGAAAUCUCCGAGCUCAACUCGGAAAUGGCAUUGGAAACUGCCCUGCUGAAGGGUCGGAGGGGGGACUGGAAUUCUCGGUGUAGCAGUGAAAUGCGUAGAUAUCGAGAGGAACACCAGUGGCGAAGGCGGCAUCCUGGACCAACACUGACACUGAAACGCGAAAGCCAGGGGAGCAAACGGG
rnacentral:rRNA from 1 species